rnacentral:siRNA from 1 species
UGUACAAGGUCCCACAUUGCU